rnacentral:lncRNA from 1 species
CUAGGCGGGCAUCCAAGUGACAUUUACAGGCCAUUUCUAUGGAAAUAGAUCUCUUACCUAGACACCAUUUUUAAUGAACUAAACAUACCGAUAGGGCGUGUUUGAUAACAGGAAGUUGCUUCUCAGAAACAGGAACUUACCUGUGUAGCAUUUUUGUGCUUGAUAAAAGUUGGUAAGUUUAAUACGGGAACUUCCUAUUGCUGUAGAACUUGGCCCUCUUAAGCAUAAAGAAAGUUCGGUCCAAAUCGACGGAAGUUAGAAAGGGAAGAUUAGAGGGGAACUUCAUCCCAAUAAAGAAGGUCAAGACACCUCCAUGAAAAAAGCCCCUUUCUAAAACCCUAGCCGUUUCUUCUCCCUGAGCACCAUAGCCGCAUACCAUUUCGCAGCUCUCUCUCUCCCUUUAACCUGUUGUCUCUCUAUGUCCUCUCUCUAACCCCAUCUCUAUCUCUCUAACCCUCUCUCUCUCUCUCUGUCUCUAACUUGUUGUCCCUUACUUCACUACCCCACUGUAGUGCCUCUCUCCUCUGAGAAGAAAAAGCAGGCAAGGAAGAAAAUAUAAAACAAAUAAGAGGAAGGCAAGUUCUUUGUGGUUUCCUUAUUUUUGUAAGUAACAUAUCGUUUGGUUCUCAUAUGGGUUUUAUGUCUUAUUUAAUUGCAGGGGGAAUUUUUGGUUUCAAUUGGUAUUGCGAUUAUUUGUCAUUUUAACGUUUGUUGCUGUUUAAAAUGUUUUUAGGUUAGACUUUCCUCUUUCAUCUCCAUGAAAAUUCAUGUGCUUUUACAAGUGCAUGUACUUGAAAAUUUAUUAUCAUUGGCCCGUCUAAGUUUAAUGAUGGAUUCUAACUGUUAUAUUUAUUUAUUUAUCUUAUUAUCUUCUCUCUCGGGACUUUUAAUGCUGUAAUAUAUAGCUUUUUGUGAGUUUUAUUGAUGUCGAACUAUUAUCAUGGAUCCGAUGAACUGGUCCUAAGCAGAGUGAAACAAUAAUACGUUUAAUCCAAGCUCAUAAAAUAAGAAAAUAUUUUUAAUCAAGUUAGAUCUCCAAUGUUAUCCUAUUUCUCAAAAAAAAAAAUAAAAAAAAUUCAAGCUUUACAUAUGGAAGCUAAUCCACAGAUAAUACUAUUAUAUCUUUUAUUGAUGCUAGCUCUCAUCAUAUAUACAUAUUAUCAUUUUAAUGUGGCUGCAUUUCCUUAGACUCUUCUUGAAAUUGAUAAAAUCUAAAUGGUUUUUGUUUUUUUUAGUGUAAUGGGUUCAACAUUUUUGGAUAAAAGCAUGAAUUUGAUUGAAAGAGAAAAGGGAACAAGAUGUUUAGAUGUCAUCAAGGUAAUGGCCAUACAUAUUUGUAUAUCUUUCUAGGAUCAAUAUUUUUAGUCAACCGGAAGUAAUUCUGAAAAUGGUAUCAAAUCAUCACUUGGUUAACUAGUCAAUGGGCUUUUUAUAUUGAUUGGGUGCCUUCCAAGUAUUGCAUACGAAUGAUAGAUUUAGAGUAAAUUGUGUUCCUUAAAACACAAUUUAUUGGAGAUUGAGAAAACCCAUAUCCCCAAAGGACUGACUAACAGAGCUAGUAACACCCUUUUAAGAAAUGGAAGAAGGUUUGUCUCAAAGAUGGAACCAUUCUUUUUCUUGUAAAUGUUAGCCUCAGUGAUGGAACCGUAUGCAUAUUGGUUGUCUCUAAGCUGAUAGUUGGGGUUCCCUUAACUGAUUAGUUAAAAGUUAAUCUGGUCUGUCCAGGAGGUGGGGGACCAACAAACUGGAAUUAUAAAGGGCAUGAGCUAGGUCUUGGUUCAAGCCUAUUGGUAGAAAGUAAACCAGGGUAGUUGGUUCUCAGUGGUUUGAUUGGGAUCAGCAAGUAGAUGUCCCAAGAGAGCAUAAUGAACAUGCUCCCCAUACUCUUGAUUGCUUAUUGAUAUCCAUACAUUUGUAUUUAGCUAUGUUGAUUAUACAUUUCUAAUAUAAGGGCACUUCCUCUUAAUUGCUCUUAGUUACUCAAAAUUCUUAGAUCAAAGCUCUUAGUUACUCAAAAUUCUCUCACCUAGUUCUAUUUGGGAUAAAACCCCUAGGUCUUCACAAUUCAUGAAUCUCUCCCACGUUUCUCUUUUGAGAUGGAUGAGUGGUGAUGUAAGGAAUGGUAAAAUUCGGUGACUGUAUAAAGUAUAUUGGAGGAUAGCCUAUAAUGAUGUAUACAAUGGAUGUGUAGUGUUAGAUGAUUAUAUAGAAUAUAAUAAAUCCAUUGUUUUUGUAAUAUAUAGUAUAUUUUUUUGUAGUUUUACAAGUUUAGGUACAAUGUUCACACAAAUUCAAUACAUACGUUUGUUCUCUUUACAGGAGUUUACUUUUGUGACAAAGUACAAAAGCAAAUCUUUGCCUGUAUACUUCAACGAAUUGGAGAAGAUAUCUUGCACGGAUGCUUCGGAUUGAAGCUAUGUGGAGGGAGAAAGAAAUAGGCCUCGAUGUCUCCAUCAAGGCAUCUCGGCUUCUCAAGAUUGUCUUCCUAAGCAUCUAGUCUUUGCUUUCAUUAAAGUUAUAAUUGUUGUCUAAAUCUUUUUUCUUUAAUGUUGGGAACAUUGUGGGACAGACAACAAUGUUAUUUUAUUGUUUAAUGAGAUAUAUUUUUUAGGUUGGGAUAUUGAUGCAUGAGUGGUAAAAGUAUGUCCAAGUUGUAUUUAAGCUAUUACAUGUUAUUGUUG